GCUAGAGACACAGCAUCAAGGAUUAACCCAAACAAGGAGGACACACGGGAUGCUGGUGGGGGCGUGGGGACAGGAGGCCCCGAGUCUGUGCACCUCCAAGGACACGGCUAAUUCAACCCAGCGCCCCCAACCAGCCAUCGAACGUGAUCAGAGGCAAGCAGGCAGCAGGAAAAAGAGGGAGGCAGGUGACACAGAGGAGAAGGCAGUUUUGCACGUAGCCAUUCGUGGCUGUGAGAACAAACAUAAAUGUAUCUGAGAGAUCAUUAAAAUGCAUAAGACAGCAAUGAUUAUGUCAGAAGGAAUGGGCUUGAAGACACCUUUCUUUCUCUACUCCCAAGUUUGCUCUCAAUUGUUUUGAAGUCAAAUCAGACAAACAUACAUGUUUUCAUGGGAAGUCUGCCAGGCUCCAGUCUCUUCUCUGUCCUUUCCGGACCCAAGGCCAGGAGCGGUUUCCAGCCGACUCGGAGUGCCUGACCUCGCAGGCAGGAGUAAGCCAGCGCCGAAGGGGCAGAGCCAAGCAGGUGCACGGCCCUCGACGUGGCCCCGUCUGGUUCGUGAAAUGAAAAACUGAAUCCGUGGCAGCAACAAAUCCCGUGGCUGAGCUUCUCCGGUGAGGCUGAGCGUAGGCUCCCUCCCUCCUUGGGGCCAUCAGACCAACGUACCGUUCUCUCCUGAAACCGGGCCUGGUGUUCGAAACGUGGCUCCUGCUCGUUGUCCACCUCAGAGGCUUCCCCUGAUGGUGAAUAGCUCCCUGGAUGAGUUUCCUGUUGCUGCUGGAACGAAGCGCCAAGCGUCGUGGCUGACGGCAACGAUUCCGGCUUUUCCAGAACGUCAUAUAAAGGAACCACGCGGGGAGCCUACAGCAUCUGGUUUCCCUCGCUUUGCGUGCGUGGGCAAUCCACCUGGGUCACGUGCAAGGUCUGUCUUCCCUUCUCACCACUGAGCAAGGCAGCUCUGUAAGAGGCACUAUGCUCCGGGUAUCCAUUCACCAGCUCAGGGACAUUUGGAUUGUUCCCACUUUUUGGCUUCUGUGAAGACAGGACACACAAUGACGUGGGACUACAUCGAGAGAGAGGUAGAGAGAGAGAGAGAGUUGUGGGCAUGGACAUGUUUCCAUUUCUCUUGGGAAAUAUCCGGGGGGGGGGGGAAUUACUGAGGCAAAUGGUAGUGUAGGCGUCAUUUUAUAAGAAACUACCAGGGCGCUUGGGUGGCUCAGUCGGUGAAGCGUCUGACUUCGGCUCAGGAUAUGAUCUCACGGUUCGUGGAUUCGAGCCCCGCGUCGGGCUCUGGGUUCGUG